GUGUACGGCCAUGCUACCCCGAACGUGCCCAAACUUGUCUGAUCUCAGAAGCUAAACAGGGUCGGGCCUGGUUAGUAUUUGGAUGGGAGAUCAUCUAGGAAUACCAGGUGCUGUAGUCA
rnacentral:rRNA from 1 species